rnacentral:rRNA from 1 species
UAGGGAAUCUUCGGCAAUGGGGGCAACCCUGACCGAGCAACGCCGCGUGAGUGAAGAAGGUUUUCGGAUCGUAAAGCUCUGUUGUAAGAGAAGAACGUGUGUGAGAGUGGAAAGUUCACACAGUGACGGUAACUUACCAGAAAGGGACGGCUAACUACGUGCCAGCAGCCGCGGUAAUACGUAGGUCCCGAGCGUUGUCCGGAUUUAUUGGGCGUAAAGCGAGCGCAGGCGGUUUAAUAAGUCUGAAGUUAAAGGCAGUGGCUUAACCAUUGUUCGCUUUGGAAACUGUUAGACUUGAGUGCAGCAGGGGAGAGUGGAAUUCCAUGUGUAGCGGUGAAAUGCGUAGAUAUAUGGAGGAACACCGGUGGCGAAGGCGGCUCUCUGGUCUGUAACUGACGCUGAGGCUCGAAAGCGUGGGGAGCAAACAGG